AUUGAACGCUGGCGGCAGGCCUAACACAUGCAAGUCGAGCGAGAGGCGGACGGGUGAGUAAUGUCUGGGAAACUGCCUAAUGGAGGGGGAUAACUACUGGAAACGGUAGCUAAUACCGCAUAACAUCAGAUGUGCCCAGAUGGGAUUAGCUAGUCGGUGGGGUAAUGGCUCACCUAGGCGACGAUCCCUAGCUGGUCUGAGAGGAUGACGAGCCACACGGAAACGUAGACACGGUCCAGCCUCCUACGGGAGGGAGCAUGGGGGAUUAUUGCAAAAUGGGCGCAAGCCUACGGCAGCCAUCCCGCGUGUGUGAAGAAGGCCUUCGGGUUGUAAAGCACUUUCAGCGGGGAGGCGUUACCCGCAGAAGAAGCACCGGCUAACUCCGUGCAAGCAGCCGCGUAAUAC
rnacentral:rRNA from 1 species